rnacentral:rRNA from 1 species
CCUACGGGCGGCAGCAGUGGGGAAUAUUGCGCAAUGGGCGAAAGCCUGACGCAGCGACGCCGCGUGAGGGAUGAAGGUCUUCGGAUCGUAAACCUCUGUCAGCAGGGAAGAACGGGCACUGUGCUAAUCAGCAGUGAAUUGACGGUACCUGCAAAGGAAGCACCGGCUAACUCCGUGCCAGCCGCCGCGGUAAUACGGAGGGUGCGAGCGUUAAUCGGAAUUACUGGGCGUAAGGCGCUCGUAGGCGGUAUGUCAAGUCAAGGGUGAAAUUCCCGCGCUCAACGUGGGAACUGCCUUUGAAGAUGGCAAACUGGAGUGUGUGAGAGGAUAGUGGAAUUCCAGGUGUAGGAGUGAAAUCCGUAGAUAUCUGGAGGAACAGCAGUGGCGAAGGCGACUAUCUGGCACAUAACUGACGCUGAGGAGCGAAAGCGUGGGUAGCAAACAGGAUUAGAUACCCCUGUAGUC